rnacentral:rRNA from 1 species
UAGAGUUUGAUCAUGGCUCAUAACGAACGCUGGCGGCAGGCUUAACACAUGCAAGUCGAGCGCCCCGCAAGGGGAGCGGCAGACGGGUGAGUAACGCGUGGGAAUCUACCCAUCCCUACGGAAUAACGCAUGGAAACGUGUGCUAAUACCGUAUACGCCCUUAGGGGGAAAGAUUUAUCGGGGAUGGAUGAGCCCGCGUUGGAUUAGCUAGUUGGUGGGGUAAAGGCCUACCAAGGCGACGAUCCAUAGCUGGUCUGAGAGGAUGAUCAGCCACAUUGGGACUGAGACACGGCCCAAACUCCUACGGGAGGCAGCAGUGGGGAAUAUUGGACAAUGGGCGCAAGCCUGAUCCAGCCAUGCCGCGUGAGUGAUGAAGGCCUUAGGGUUGUAAAGCUCUUUCACCGAUGAAGAUAAUGACGGUAGUCGGAGAAGAAGCCCCGGCUAACUUCGUGCCAGCAGCCGCGGUAAUACGAAGGGGGCUAGCGUUGUUCGGAAUUACUGGGCGUAAAGCGCAUGUAGGCGGAUAUUU